GGUUAAGCGACUAAGCGUACACGGUGGAUGCCCUGGCAGUCAGAGGCGAUGAAGGACGUGCUAAUCUGCGAUAAGCGUCGGUAAGGUGAUAUGAACCGUUAUAACCGGCGAUUUCCGAAUGGGGAAACCCAGUGUGUUUCGACACACUAUCAUUAACUGAAUCCAUAGGUUAAUGAGGCGAACCGGGGAACUGAAACAUCUAAGUACCCCGAGGAAAAGAAAUCAACCGAGAUUCCCCAGUAGCGGCGAGCGAACGGGGAGGAGCCCAGAGCCUGAAUCAGUGUGUGUGUUAGUGGAAGCGUCUGGAAAGGCGCGCGAUACAGGGUGACAGCCCCGUACACAAAAAUGCACAUAUUGUGAGCUCGAUGAGUAGGGCGGGACACGUGGUAUCCUGUCUGAAUAUGGGGGGACCAUCCUCCAAGGCUAAAUACUCCUGACUGACCGAUAGUGAACCAGUACCGUGAGGGAAAGGCGAAAAGAACCCCGGCGAGGGAGUGAAAAAGAACCUGAAACCGUGUACGUACAAGCAGUGGGAGCACGCUUAGGCGUGUGACUGCGUACCUUUGUAUAAUGGGUCAGCGACUUAUAUUCUGUAGCAAGGUUAACCGAAUAGGGGAGCCGAAGGGAAACCGAGUCUUAACUGGGCGUUAAGUUGCAGGGUAUAGACCCGAAACCCGGUGAUCUAGCCAUGGGCAGGUUGAAGGUUGGGUAACACUAACUGGAGGACCGAACCGACUAAUGUUGAAAAAUUAGCGGAUGACUUGUGGCUGGGGGUGAAAGGCCAAUCAAACCGGGAGAUAAGGGGGUCAUCCCGACUUACCGACCCGAUGCAAACUGCGAAUACCGGAGAAUGUUAUCACGGGAGACACACGGCGGGUGCUAACGUCCGUCGUGAAGAGGGAAACAACCCAGACCGCCAGCUAAGGUCCCAAAGUCAUGGUUAAGUGGGAAACGAUGUGGGAAGGCCCAGACAGCCAGGAUGUUGGCUUAGAAGCAGCCAUCAUUUAAAGAAAGCGUAAUAGCUCACUGGUCGAGUCGGCCUGCGCGGAAGAUGUAACGGGGCUAAACCAUGCACCGAAGCUGCGGCAGCGACGCUUAUGCGUUGUUGGGUAGGGGAGCGUUCUGUAAGCCUGCGAAGGUGUGCUGUGAGGCAUGCUGGAGGUAUCAGAAGUGCGAAUGCUGACAUAAGUAACGAUAAAGCGGGUGAAAAGCCCGCUCGCCGGAAGACCAAGGGUUCCUGUCCAACGUUAAUCGGGGCAGGGUGAGUCGACCCCUAAGGCGAGGCCGAAAGGCGUAGUCGAUGGGAAACAGGUUAAUAUUCCUGUACUUGGUGUUACUGCGAAGGGGGGACGGAGAAGGCUAUGUUGGCCGGGCGACGGUUGUCCCGGUUUAAGCGUGUAGGCUGGUUUUCCAGGCAAAUCCGGAAAAUCAAGGCUGAGGCGUGAUGACGAGGCACUACGGUGCUGAAGCAACAAAUGCCCUGCUUCCAGGAAAAGCCUCUAAGCAUCAGGUAACAUCAAAUCGUACCCCAAACCGACACAGGUGGUCAGGUAGAGAAUACCAAGGCGCUUGAGAGAACUCGGGUGAAGGAACUAGGCAAAAUGGUGCCGUAACUUCGGGAGAAGGCACGCUGAUAUGUAGGUGAAGUCCCUUGCGGAUGGAGCUGAAAUCAGUCGAAGAUACCAGCUGGCUGCAACUGUUUAUUAAAAACACAGCACUGUGCAAACACGAAAGUGGACGUAUACGGUGUGACGCCUGCCCGGUGCCGGAAGGUUAAUUGAUGGGGUCAGCGCAAGCGAAGCUCUUGAUCGAAGCCCCGGUAAACGGCGGCCGUAACUAUAACGGUCCUAAGGUAGCGAAAUUCCUUGUCGGGUAAGUUCCGACCUGCACGAAUGGCGUAAUGAUGGCCGGGCUGUCUCCACCCGAGACUCAGUGAAAUUGAACUCGCUGUGAAGAUGCAGUGUACCCGCGGCAAGACGGAAAGACCCCGUGAACCUUUACUAUAGCUUGACACUGAACAUUGAGCCUUGAUGUGUAGGAUAGGUGGGAGGCUUUGAAGUGUGGACGCCAGUCUGCAUGGAGCCGGCCUUGAAAUACCACCCUUUAAUGUUUGAUGUUCUAACGUGGACCCGUGAUCCGGGUUGCGGACAGUGUCUGGUGGGUAGUUUGACUGGGGCGGUCUCCUCCUAAAGAGUAACGGAGGAGCACGAAGGUUGGCUAAUCCUGGUCGGACAUCAGGAGGUUAGUGCAAUGGCAUAAGCCAGCUUGACUGCGAGCGUGACGGCGCGAGCAGGUGCGAAAGCAGGUCAUAGUGAUCCGGUGGUUCUGAAUGGAAGGGCCAUCGCUCAACGGAUAAAAGGUACUCCGGGGAUAACAGGCUGAUACCGCCCAAGAGUUCAUAUCGACGGCGGUGUUUGGCACCUCGAUGUCGGCUCAUCACAUCCUGGGGCUGAAGUAGGUCCCAAGGGUAUGGCUGUUCGCCAUUUAAAGUGGUACGCGAGCUGGGUUUAGAACGUCGUGAGACAGUUCGGUCCCUAUCUGCCGUGGGCGCUGGAGAACUGAGGGGGCUGCUCCUAGUACGAGAGGACCGGAGUGGACGCAUCACUGGUGUUCGGGUUGUCAUGCCAAUGGCACUGCCCGGUAGCUAAAUGCGGAAGAGAUAAGUGCUGAAAGCAUCUAAGCACGAAACUUGCCCCGAGAUGAGUUCUCCCUGACCCUUUAAGGGUCCUGAAGGAACGUUGAAGACGACGACGUUGAUAGGCCGGGUGUGUAAGCGCAGCGAUGCGUUGAGCUAACCGGUACUAAUGAACCGUGAGGCUUAACCUU
rnacentral:rRNA from 1 species